CAGAUGCAGUUUGGAGAGUAGCAGGGCUGGGUCUGCAAAGGACUGCUCUGGGAGUGAAAAGUGACUCACGGUUUUGGUGUCUUCCUACGUAAGAGCUUUUGGUGGGGGGAUUCCUUGGCUUGCUGACAGACAAGGAAGGACGCAGCAGCAGUGAGGUAAAUUUCCAACCGCCUUGCCGACGAUGCGCACCCGUUCGGUUUGAUUUGAACAGCUUGCUGCUCUAAAUGGCAUGCGGAAGGAGGAUAAUUAAAAAGGCCAGCAUCACUUACUAAUUCCCUAGCACCAAGGACUCAACAAUGACCCUAGUAAAGUCUCUGCACCCUGAUAGGGUCUCUCACUGAAUCUAAAGCCUGUUGAUUUGAGCAGACUGGCUGACUAGGAAGCUCCCAGGAUCUGUGUGUCUAUACCUUUCAAUGCUGGGACUAUAGAUGUUUGGUAUGUCCAGUUUUUUCAAGGAUGUUGGAAAUUUGAACUCAGGUCCUCAUGUUUGUACAGCAAACACUUACUUUACCAAGCCAUCUUCCCAGACUCCAGGGCUCCAUUUAAGUAAAAAGUCUGAAUGGUGCUAAUGGCUAUAGGCUCUGGGAGAUUCACUGCGUGGUAGGAAGCUGCUCUUCAUGGAGAGAAAGGCUGUGAAACAAGAUGCGGGCUCUUUGAUCUUGGUUCUCACAGAGGCUCCCUUGGCCCUUCUGUCCCCUAUGGGGAAUGGGUAGAUACAGUGUUGCUUCAAUGCAAUUGGCAGAAGAGGAUCUGCCUGGCUGUUUCUGGAAACUAGCACUUACUUCUUUAAAGGGUCCACGAGACUAUCUGAACUCACAAGGGAGAGCCAAAGUGCUGGAGGUACCCACAGAAUUCUGGGAAGUGUUACAUGUCAUACCAAGAGAGCACGAACAUUCACUAGUAGCACACUCAAGGAUUCCCAGCACCCUGGGCAUGGCUGAAUGGCUGUAGAAAGACGUGCUAGGGAUUCCUUCAAGUCCUGUUGGUACUCAGCUGUGGAGACUGCUGUGGUCCUUCCUUCUCAAGACCUGGUGUUCGGAGGAACAAGAUUUGAAUAACAGAGGGCUUCUCAGCUACAGACCUUGGAUGGCUGUGUUCCCAGAUGUGACCUUUUCAAGUGAAUUUAGAGCUGUGAACCCAGGAUCAAGAUAAGGAGUCUACGAGUGAAGCCAGGAUCAAGACAAGGAGUCUACAAGUGAUAAACU
rnacentral:lncRNA from 1 species